UUGCCGUAAAAGCAUUGGACUGAACAUAAACCCAGAAUAUCUGUUGUAGCAGUAGCACUGUCGAUUUCGGUAGGACAGGAGCCGGAAAUCUAGGGUAAAGCUCAGAAAGGACCUGCAAUCAUAGAAGCGGGUCAGGAUGGUGAGGCAAUGCCCUCAUCCUCAGGCUCAGCCUGACCUGCCUGCCCCUGUUUUCCUGUAGCCUAGCAGUGCCCACUAGAUAUUUGACGCUGGUCGCUGGACAGAUCAGAGAUACAGUGGAUUCUCACUUUCUCUCU
rnacentral:lncRNA from 1 species